UACGGAGGGGGCUAGCGUUGUUCGGAAUUACUGGGCGUAAAGCGCACGUAGGCGGCUUUGUAAGUUAGAGGUGAAAGCCCGGGGCUCAACUCCGGAAUUGCCUUUAAGACUGCAUCGCUAGAAUUGUGGAGAGGUAAGUGGAAUUCCGAGUGUAGAGGUGAAAUUCGUAGAUAUUCGGAAGAACACCAGUGGCGAAGGCGACUUACUGGACACAUUAUUUGACGCUGAGGUGCGAAAAGCGUGGGGGAGCAAA
rnacentral:rRNA from 1 species